rnacentral:rRNA from 1 species
CUCAGUGAAAUUGAACUCGCUGUGAAGAUGCAGUGUACCCGCGGCAAGACGGAAAGACCCCGUGAACCUUUACUAUAGCUUGACACUGAACAUUGAGCCUUGAUGUGUAGGAUAGGUGGGAGGCUUUGAAGUGUGGACGCCAGUCUGCAUGGAGCCGACCUUGAAAUACCACCCUUUAAUGUUUGAUGUUCUAACGUGGACCCGUAAUCCGGGUUGCGGACAGUGUCUGGUGGGUAGUUUGACUGGGGCGGUCUCCUCCUAAAGAGUAACGGAGGAGCACGAAGGUUGGCUAAUCCUGGUCGGACAUCAGGAGGUUAGUGCAAUGGCAUAAGCCAGCUUGACUGCGAGCGUGACGGCGCGAGCAGGUGCGAAAGCAGGUCAUAGUGAUCCGGUGGUUCUGAAUGGAAGGGCCAUCGCUCAACGGAUAAAAGGUACUCCGGGGAUAACAGGCUGAUACCGCCCAAGAGUUCAUAUCGACGGCGGUGUUUGGCACCUCGAUGUCGGCUCAUCACAUCCUGGGGCUGAAGUAGGUCCCAAGGGUAUGGCUGUUCGCCAUUUAAAGUGGUACGCGAGCUGGGUUUAGAACGUCGUGAGACAGUUCGGUCCCUA